GUUAAUUUUUUUUUUCUCAAGAAUGUGUCAUGUAUAUGACGUGUCUUGUUACAAUGUGUUUUCUUAUAUGACAGGAGCAUUACUAUGAUCCUCGCAGUGGUCAAGGUUACCUGGCCUAUAGAUUGAAAACAGUGAGCGUAACAAUACAGGCAAAUCCGACACGAAUGCCAGGCCUGUUUAUGAAGGUAGCCUGAAGGUUCUGCGAGAGACCUCAGCAUCUGAACAGCUAUCAGGUGAUGAAUGCAUGGAGGCAAUGUCCAUCAUGAAACAUUCGGUGGACUAGCCAGUUGUCAAAGAAAAAAUGAAGGCAAUGUUCAAGCAUAGACAGAAGAUGCUACGCGAUCCUGACCAGUCCUCGCUUGUCCUGGAUCACUUCCCCCGAUUCCUGGAUACACCAGGCCUGAUAAGAAGUACAUGAACUUAACAACAAUUGAUAGAUAUAUAGUGUAGAUAUAGUGUUGUGUUUUUAAUAUGCUUUUCUUUGUAUUAGAUUGACCAAGACUUCACCAAGCUCUUUGGAGAGGAUGUCUCUGGCAAGUUCAUUGCAAAAUGGGCAACUUUCUACAAGGCUAGGGUCAUCACUGUCUGCAAAAAAAAAAAAAAAAAAGUGCCCUGGCACUCAUCUGGAUGACCUUCUGUUUGCGCAUGAAGAAGCAAGUGAAUGUGGUAAGUGUUUAUGGAUGUUUGCUUUGAACAGUAUUCAUUAUGUGUAUGCUUAUGCUUAUGAUCUGUGUGUGUGUGUGUGUGUGUGUGUGUGUGUGUGUGUGUGUGUGUGUGUGUGUGUGUGUGUGUGUGUGUGUGUGUGUGUGUGUGUGUGUGUGUGUCCACUAGGAUGGAACAGUGACUUGGCUGCUAUCCUCCUGCUCGUUCAUCUCUUGCCUCCAACCGCAAAAGGAAAAAGACACGUAAAAAUCAGUACUUCUGAAGCGUCUGACCAUGUGCUCAAAUUCAUGAAGGUUUGGACAAGCAUGGCAACCUUCCUUCACAAUGUUGAAUCCUCACAACCCUUCCUCCUCUGCAUUGGAGAAAAGAAGACGUGUAUUCAGAAAUUUUACAUCAUCCUGGACCACAAGCCCAUUCCCUGCAUGUCGCCGACUGCGGUAGGGGCCUUUGACGAACUGUUUAAGGUGCACUUUGUGUUUUCUCUGUCCUAUGAUGAGGCCUUAUUCAACUUCUAAACUUUCAUCCAAACAACCAUAUACGGCAUCGAUGUGGCCACCGCAAAGGAGAGUCGAAGGGUCAAGGAAAUCAGAGUGAGAAUCAAUAACGUUUAAACAUGUUCAACUGUUACAUUUGCAAGGUUGGCCAAAUAAAUUGUUCUGUUCUUUUUCAGCAUUUCAAAUUCAGCCAUGCUUUGUACCCAGGGAGGUCUUUACGUUUGAAAUGUGGGGAACAUGGCCGUUCAUCUCUUUUUUACACAUAUUGUGGGUUCAAGAAACAUUUAAAGAAAAUUCAUGGACACUGUUUAGCUUCAGAUCCUGUUGAUUGUCCAAAUAAUGAUGACAUGGUGGACAAUGUUUGUGUUAAUCAAUUGCCAAGUGAUUCAACUGUCAGUAACCAAUCCCCUCAAAAAAAAAGGCAGUUGGUGGAUAUGUGUAGCUCAAUUAUCGCUCAAGUGCAACACCAGUGUAAUGUUAAUACAACACUUGCAAGUGUUGUGCCCUGUUAAAUUCAAACAAGAAAUAGUGAUAAGUUAACUAAAAUUGAGUGUUAAACAUUUAACACUCUCCGAAAUGUUACUUUUACACCAGGUAGUGUGGAUGCAUAUAGACUCUUUGCCGGUGUUAAAUUUGACUUCACAGGUGUUAAUUUAACACCAGUGUUUUUGCUGUGCACCUUGGAAAAUGGACAGCCUCGAUGAUGCACAGUAGGUGUGGGAAAAAUAAUCGAUUCUUCGAUGCAUCGCGAUUCUCGCUUGAACGAUUCUGUCUCGAUGCAGAUAAAUUAAUAAUCUGAAUAAAAAAUAUAUAUAUGUAUAUAUAUAUUUUUUUUGCCUGCUGCAACAUUCUGUUCGCCAGAGAGGGAUAAUUUUUUGUAAUUUUAAAAUUAUUAAAUUUAUCUUCAGUGUAUUGGCCAAUCUGAUUUGUCUUGACACGAUUGCGAUUCAGCCAUAGAAUGCGCGCAAACUCACAGCCAGACACAAGAACUCCUUCUAAUUCAAGAGCAGCUUUUCCUUUAAUAACAAAGAAAAGAAAGAUUAGAAAGAAAAUAAAACUGAAACCUAUUUUUUGCAUGCUUCCAUAUUGUGUUAUAAUGCAAGCUCCAUUGAUUAUUGCAUUGUUCAUAGAAAGUCAUAUUUGUGACAAAAGCUUUCUCUCUUAUGAAAUAUAAGAUAAGUUAAUUCAUCUGUUGAUGUCUUUAAUGAUCAUUACAAAAGUAGGAAGUGAUUAGCAAACUCUGAGUAGCAAACCCAGAUGUAUAUAUAUAUUUUAGAAAAUUACGCAUGGAAAUGUACAUAAAAAAAAUUGUUGCAUCGAGAUGCAUCGAUAGUCGCUUCAGAAUCGAAUCGUUGACCUCAUAAUCCGAAUCGAAUCGUUAGGUGCCAAGAGAUUCCAACCCCUAAUGCCCAGCCCCUGUAUCUGUUCCAGCUCCUAAUCUACUCUGUCCUUCAUGAUAUAGGGCACCGCCCUCGGCUUAAAGAAACGUGGUGUGGCAUUGGGGUCGACUCUGAGCUUCACUGUCACUCGCUUCAGUGUGCCCUGCUCGUCCCUGAAAACGUUCCUGUACCGCUGCAGAAUGUCCUCCGACGUGUCUGCAUACUUAAUUUCAUGCCAGUUGAUCCCGAUUUUUUGUAGCCAGUCACGGCCUAAAAGACUGCAUCAUCAUCAUUAUAUGUCUACAUCAUUUCC
ensembl:lncRNA